rnacentral:rRNA from 1 species
AACGAACGCUGGCGGCAUGCCUAACACAUGCAAGUCGAACGAGACAUUCGGGUCUAGUGGCGCACGGGUGCGUAACGCGUGGGAACCUGCCCUUAGGUUCGGAAUAACUCCCCGAAAGGGGUGCUAAUACCGGAUAAUGUCUUCGGACCAAAGAUUUAUCGCCUUUGGAUGGGCCCGCGUUGGAUUAGCUAGUUGGUAGGGUAAAAGCCUACCAAGGCGACGAUCCAUAGCUGGUCUGAGAGGAUGAUCAGCCACACUGGGACUGAGACACGGCCCAGACUCCUACGGGAGGCAGCAGUGGGGAAUAUUGGACAAUGGGCGAAAGCCUGAUCCAGCAAUGCCGCGUGAGUGAUGAAGGCCUUAGGGUUGUAAAGCUCUGUUACCCGGGAUGAUAAUGACAGUACCGGGAGAAUAAGCUCCGGCUAACUCCGUG